rnacentral:rRNA from 1 species
GAUGAACGCUGGCGGCGUGCCUAAUACAUGCAAGUCGAGCGAACGGACGAGAAGCUUGCUCCUCUGAUGUUAGCGGCGGACGGGUGAGUAACACGUGGAUAACCUACCUAUAAGACUGGGAUAACUUCGGGAAACCGGAGCUAAUACCGGAUAAUAUUUUGAACCGCAUGGUUCAAAAGUGAAAGACGGUCUUGCUGUCUCUUAUAGAUGGAUCCGCGCUGCAUUAGCUAGUUGGUAAGGUAACGGCUUACCAAGGCAACGAUGCAUAGCCGACCUGAGAGGGUGAUCGGCCACACUGGAACGGGAACACGGACCAGACGACUACGGGAGGCAGCAGUAGGGAAUGUUCCGCAAUAGGCGGAAGCCUGACGGAGCAACGCCGCGUGAGUGAUGAAGGUCUUCGGUUCGGAAAACUCUGUUAUUAGUGAAGAACAUAUGUGUAAGUAACUGUGCACAUCUUGACGGUACCUAAUCAGAAAGCCACGGCUAACUACGUG